rnacentral:ncRNA from 1 species
AACCACUUUCCUGUGGAGCAUCAAAAUUCUUGUUUCUCUGUGUUAAGCACACAGAAUAAAGAAUCAGGAUGAUGCCCCACAACAUUUGCCUAUGUAUUAGAAAGCCAUGCUGAGGUCAUGGAAGGAAAUCGUGAUCUAUCUGGCCCAAAGAUGAUGGAAAAAGAGUUAAAAUGGAAAUACUAACUGUGAGCAGUUUGUGCUCUGAACUGUAAACAUCAAUGCGGAAAUUUUGACAGAUGGUGUGGUUCUAUUUUGUUGGUUUUCGGAACUGAGAUCAAAAUUAAGAGGGGCGCUUGGGGGCAUUCGUAUUGUGCCACUAAAGGUAAAUUCUUGGACAGGUGCAAGACAGACCAGAGGGAAAGCAUUUGCCAAUAAUGUUUUCAUUAAUCAAGAAAGAAAGUCAGAGGUUCGAAGAUGAUCAGAUACCAUCGUAGUUCUGACCACAAACAAUGCCAACUGGAGAUACACUGGUGUUAUUCCCAUGACCCUCCCUGGCAGCUUCCUGUAAACCUAAGUGUUUGGGUUUGGGGGGAGUAUGGUUGCAAAGCUGAAACUUAUUGGAAUUGAUGAAAGGGCACCACUAGGAGUGGACCUUCAGCUUAAUUUGACGCAACACGGGAGACCUCACCUGGACCAGACAUGGACAGGAUUGACAGAUUCAAAGCUCUUUCUUGAAUCCGUGGGUGGUGGUGCAUGGCCCUUCUGAUUUGGUGGAGCGAUUUGUCUGGUUAAUUCCAAUAAGGAAGGAGACUCUGGCAUGCUAACUAGUUAAGUGACCCCGGAGUGGUCAGCAUAUCCCAACUCUAAUAGGGACAAGUGGCAUUCAGCCACCUGAGAUUGAGCAACAACAGGUCUGUGAUGCCCUUAGAUGUCUGAGGCUGCAUGCACACUACACUGACUGGCUCAGCCUGUGCCUACUCUAAGCCAGCAGGAGUGAGUUACCCAUUGAACCCCAUUCAUGAUUGGGAUCAGGGAUUGCAAUUAUUCCCCAUGAAUGAGGAAUUCCCAGUAAGUGCGGGUCAUAAGCUUGCAUUAAUUAAGUCCCUGUCCUUUGUACACACUGCCUGUCACUACUACCAUUGGGUGGUUUAGUGAGGCUUUCAGAUCGGCCCUGCAGGGGUCCGCCCAUGGCCCUGGCUGAGUGCUGAGAAGAAGUUGAACUUGGCUAUCUAGAGGAAGUAAAAGUCCCAACAAGGUUUCCUUAGGUGAACCUGUAGAAGGAUCAUUA